UUUUUUUUCGCGCUCGUUUUAGCCAUGCUUUCCAGUCACAUUUUGUGGAGCUGUAUGUCUGCUAAGGCGUGCAUUGCGAAGUGCUUCGUCUGUUGAGUCUAAGGGAAAGGUAUUCGUCCUUAAAAGCUCAUUUUUAUCGCCUUCACACUGGCAAAUCGUUGUUUACACAAGAUUUGACUGUAGAAGCUUUGAAAUGCACCGUUUCCCUAUGUGAGUGCCAGUGUGAUGGAGUGAAAGGAUCAGACCAUCUAGAACAGGACACAACACCCUGCUUACAUUUGAAGGAGGGCUAGGACACACAAGAGACCUGUAGGCCCACUAUGCUGCAGCACGAACGACUGGGUCGACUUAGGAUUGAGUCCCCUCUCUGCCAGAAAUUAUCACUGUGUUCAAGGAAGACCCAGGCCCAAAUAAAGCUGCUAUGUCUAAGGUCAGCCCCUUUUCCUCAGCUUUUCAAGUUGGCAGUCAUCUAAUAUUAAAGACCAAGCCAAAGUCCCGCUCACCUCUGAAGAAGGGAAAGAUACACAGGCUUGUUGGUUCGCUCGGCAGUAGCAGUCCAUGAAAGGGCUGAAGCAGCUGACCUUUCUCCUUCGGCACACCUACAAGCCAGGGUAGAUUCUUGAUGUCCAGUGCUGUCCCUUUUUUGACUUCACAUGCCACAGAAAGGCAACACCUUUGAAACAUCUCAAAGUUUUGCAGACCUGGACUUUUCCAUGCCAUAAGACUGUUUAAAUCUGUGGACUUAUGCCUAAUUGCUAUGUAAG